GUGCCAGCAGCCGCGGUAAUACAGAGGGGGCAAGCGUUAUUCGGAAUUAUUGGGCGUAAAGGGCGCGUAGGCGGCCGUGCAAGUGGAAGGUGAAAUCCCUCGGCUCAACCGAGGAACUGCCUUUCAAACUGCUUGGCUUGAGUCCGGGAGAGGUGAGUGGAAUUCCCAGUGUAGCGGUGAAAUGCGUAGAUAUUGGGAGGAACACCAGUGGCGAAGGCGGCUCACUGGACCGGAACUGACGCUGAGGCGCGAAAGCGUGGGGAGCAAACGGGAUUAGAUACCCGUGUAGUCC
rnacentral:rRNA from 1 species